rnacentral:rRNA from 1 species
AUUGAACGCUGGCGGCAGGCCUAACACAUGCAAGUCGAACGAGUGGCGGACGGGUGAGUAAUGUCUGGGAAACUGCCCGAUGGAGGGGGAUAACUACUGGAAGCGGUAGCUAAUACCGCAUACCAUCAGAUGAACCCAUAUGGGAUUAGCUUGUAGGUGAGGUAACGGCUCCCCUAGGCGACGAUCCCUAGCUGGUCUGAGAGGAUGAUCAGCCACACUGGGACUGAGACACGGCACAGACGCCUACGGGAGGCAGAAGGGGGGAAUAUUGAACAAUGGGCGCAAGCCUGAUGCAGCCAUGCCGCGUGUAUGAAGAAGGCCUUCGGGUUGUAAAGUACUUUCAGUCGGGAGGCGUUACCGACAGAAGAAGCACCGGCUAACUCCGUGCCAGCAGCCGCGGUAAUA